UGGGGAAUAUUGGACAAUGGGCGCAAGCCUGAUCCAGCCAUGCCGCGUGAGUGAUGAAGGCCCUAGGGUUGUAAAGCUCUUUCACCGGUGAAGAUAAUGACGGUAACCGGAGAAGAAGCCCCGGCUAACUUCGUGCCAGCAGCCGCGGUAAUACGAAGGGGGCUAGCGUUGUUCGGAUUUACUGGGCGUAAAGCGCACGUAGGCGGACUUUUAAGUCAGGGGUGAAAUCCCGGGGCUCAACCCCGGAACUGCCUUUGAUACUGGAAGUGUUGAGUAUGGUAGAGGUGAGUGGAAUUCCGAGUGUAGAGGUGAAAUACGUAGAUAUUCGGAGGAACACCAGUGGCGAAGGCGGCUCACUGGACCAUUACUGACGCUGAGGUGCGAAAGCGUGGGGAGCAAACAGG
rnacentral:rRNA from 1 species